AGGGUAAGGAUGCGCCGGACAAGC
rnacentral:miRNA from 1 species